AAACUUUCAACAAUGGAUCUCUUGGUUCUCGCAUCGAUGAAGAACGCAGCGAAAUGCGAUAAGUAAUGUGAAUUGCAGAAUUCCGUGAAUCAUCAAAUUUUUGAACGCAAAUUGCACUCCUUGGUAUUCCGAGGAGUACACAUGCUUGAGGGUCAGUUA
rnacentral:rRNA from 1 species